rnacentral:lncRNA from 1 species
GCCCUCGGGGCUCGGACCCGCCGGGGCUGCGGAUCCCGGCGCGGCUGAGCUGAGGGCUGGGCGCUGCCGCUUCUCGGCAGGACCUCUGGUGUGCGGAGCCUGUGCCCGCGGAACCCAAGCAGCCUGGGAGGCUAGACUGAGCGCGGUGGAAAGAAGGUUAGACUUGGUUACCCGGAUUCUGUUUUUAAUUCCCAGCAGUUGUCAAGGGGCUUUGCCGGCGGCAGCCAGUCACCAGCUGCCUUUUGCGCCGCUCCUCUUUCUGAGGGUCGCAGGCCCACCUUCUGUGAGUGCUUCCUGCUGAGCCCGGGUGGAGGGCAGGGCUCCAGCUGCCCCUACCUGGGUGUGACGGCCCCGGGCCUCAGCCCUCACUGCUCUCUCCGAGCGACCACAGUGGGAGCUGGGUAGCUGCUCACCGCCUUCGAGGGCCCAGGAGAAGGCAAAACCCAGACCCUAGGGUGGGCCUCUCCCACCCUGGCUCUGCCAUUGUUUGGCCACCUGAGGCUGACUGUUUCUCCCAGCCAGCAGCUUUUCUCCAGGCCACGGCGUUCGCAUCCGAACAGGAGAGCCGUCCCUGGUCAGCUCAGGGACAGUCCAGGGCCCGUGGCUGUCUAGGACCCAGCCAGCGCAGUAGCCUGGAGUCCAGGUCUGUCUCAUUGGCCACAGUCACGGAGGUGGCUGAGAGCUUUUUCGUUCCUCGCGUCCCCCUCCAAGCCCCCGCGUGCACUGACCCUGAAACUCACCGUCUGCUCCUUCGCGACACGUUUCUAUUUUCCACCAACCUUCUUUAUUGGAAACAUUCCGGUAAAGGUUUUUUAGGCUCCGGAGACUCUGAUGUGUUUGCAGUCCGUUCGUUUAUCAGGUAUACACACCCUCGGAGCACCCCUCACGCGCUGCUUGAUAUGCAAAGAAGAGGAGCUCCAGGUCCCAGGUCAGAGAGGGGCGUCACACAGUAAGUAGUCCAGGGGGCUGUUGCCCCAGUUUGGAGCUGGGACCCCUCCUGACUCAGGUAAGAUGUGUCCCUGGAGAUCUCUGAGCCUCGGGUAAGGUGGGCGCUUCGGGUCACCAAGUGGGCUCUGCCCCACUUAGGAGGGGGUGGGCUGUUGGUUUCCAAGUUUUUAGACUCAGUCUCCUGGUCGGAAGGUCCCCCAAGUAUUGGCUGCCCCUGUACCCUGAUGCCAAAUAGAAACACGGAGAUGGAGGUGGAAGACACAGAAAAAGGAGCUUGAAUUUCCAGGCAAAGAGGGGACUUCAAGGACUGGGACCCCCCACCUGCAGGAGGUGGUGCAGUCUUGGCGUGUUCAAGGAUGGGCGACUUCUUAAUGAUGCCAUCCGGCCCAGCGUGAGGGCUGCAUUGUGGCAUAGGGAGGUUCCCAGGCUAGGGGUUGAAUCAGGAGCUGUAGCCACAGCCACAGCAAUGCUAGAUCUGGCCUGUGUCUGCAACCUACACCACAGCUCACGGCAACGCCGGAUCGUUAACCCACUGAGCAAGGGCAGGGAUCGAACCCGCAACCUCAUGGUUCCUAGUCGGAUUCGUUAACCACUGCGCCACGAUGGGAACUCCCAGGUUCCCAGGCUAGGGGGUCUAAUCGGAGCCGUAGCCGCCAGCCUAUGCCAGAGCCACAGCAGCGCAGGGUCCAAGGCGAGUCUGCACCACAGCUCACGGCAACGCCGGAUCCUUAACCCACUGAGCGAGGCCAGGGAUCAAACCACAGCCUCAUGUUCCUAGUCGGGUUCGUUUCUGCUGCGCCAUAGUGGAAACUCCAUAAACGACUCGUUAUGUGAAGUUUCAUGCCACUGUGCUCAGAGAAGAUACUUGAAAUGAUUUCUGUAGUCUUAGAUUUGUUGAGAAGGUCUGUCCGAAGAUGUGAGCGGGGUGUUAAAGUCUCCUACUGUGAUUGUGCUCCCGUGGAUUCCUCCUUUUACGGCUGUUAGUAUUUGCCAGUCUCUUGGAGACAGCAGAUUGCAGGCUCUUGUUUCUUUAUCCAGUCUGCCACUCUGCGUCUUUUGACUGGAGCAUUCAGUCCAUUGACAUUUAAGAUCUGCCCCCUGGGCCCCUCUGCUCCAAGAUGCCUCAGUUCGGGCCGAGGACACAGUAUGGCGCCAGGGUACGGAGGCCUGAAGGAAGCUGGGGCUAGUGAAAGUUCUCACGGAGUUCCCUGGUGGCUGCCAGGCUUAAGAGUCUCUCCCGGUGUCACUGCGGUGGCUGUGGGAAGAGCCGCACUGGGAGAUCCAACCCUGGCCAGAGAGCAUGCCAAUGUGGCAGGUGGCGCCCAAAUAAAUGUAUGAAUAAAAAGAGAUAUGGAAA